rnacentral:rRNA from 1 species
CCAGACUCGUACGGGAGGCAGCAGUGGGGAAUAUCGCACAAUGGAGGAAACUCUGAUGCAGCGACGCCGCGUGAGCGAUGAAGGCUUUCGAGUCGUAAAGCUCUGUCCUAUGGGAAGAUAAUGACGGUACCAUAGGAGGAAGCCCCGGCUAACUACGUGCCAGCAGCCGCGGUAAUACGUAGGGGGCGAGCGUUGUCCGGAAUCACUGGGCGUAAAGGGUUCGCAGGCGGUCUACCAAGUCUGAUGUGAAAGGCAUGGGCUUAACCCAUGUAAGCAUUGGAAACUGAUAGACCUGAGUUAAGGAGAGGUAAGUGGAAUUCCUAGUGUAGCGGUGAAAUGCGUAGAUAUUAGGAAGAAUACCGGUGGCGAAGGCGACUUAUUGGACUUAAACUGACGCUGAGGAACGAAAGCGUGGGGAGCAAACAGGAUUAGAUACCCUGGUAGUCCACGCUGUAAACGAUGAGUGCUAGGUG